UUUCCGCAGGUGAACCUGCGGAAGGAUCAUUAUUGUAUAGCCGAGGUGCGAGGGCUGUCGCUGACCCGAAAGGUCGUGCACGCCCGAGUGCCCUCACACACAUCCAUCUCACCCCUAUGUGCACCACCGCGUGGGUCCCCCUUUGGCUUGUUCGGAGGGGGGCUUACGUUUUCACACAAACUUUGUAUGCAGUGUAGAAUGUAUUUUUUGUUUUUGCGAUCACGCAAUCAAUACAACUUUCAACAACGGAUCUCUUGGCUCUC
rnacentral:misc_RNA from 1 species